AAGAGCUGAAAUUAAAAACAGAUCGGACUCCAGAAUCCCCUUUAACUGCCAAGAGCUACACUACCCUUGGAUGCCCGCUGCCUUUCAGAUGCGUUAGGGAGAAGAUAGCACUGGCAUGGGGUUGGGGGUAGCCUCCACGAUAUGACCUGCAUACACCAGCAACGCUGAUUUGGCUGAAUUCUGACUGGCAAGUGAUUUAAUCUGCUGGCUGGCAGGGCACGAAGGCUGACCAGGUCCAGCACAAGAUCUGAAGGUUGAAACAGAUGAGAAGCAUGAUGAAUCUUAAUUCAGAAGAGCAGAAAUAAAACACUUUCCCAGAAGGGGCAGAGGGGAAACUUUGCCCAGCUAUGAUGAACACAUAGUGUCAGCACUGUGGUUAUUUUAAUCAAUAGACCACAGAUGAAAUGAUAAAGGCAAUCUGGCUGCAAACAAGCCCACAAAAACAUCACAUACACAUGGACAACAACUGUUUCAAAAGAAAGCCAGGAGCCAUAGUGGUGGUUCACUUGGUUAAGUGUUUCUAUACAAGCUUAAGGACCUGAGUUCAAAUCUCUAGAACUCCUGUAACAAACAAACAAAUAAACAAGGGUGAUAACAUG